UUUUGGUGAUGAUUAAAAAUUUCAUUUUUGAGUUAUUGAGUAUUUUGUAAAAAAGGGGGAGGUUUUUUUUACAUGUCGUGCCGUAUCUCAAAAACGAUUUAUGAUUAUUGCUUAAAACUUUACACACUUCUUUGUUAUAUUAAUCUAAAGAUCUGUAUACUUUUUGGUGAUGACUCAAAAUUUUAUUUUUGAGUUAUUGAGUAUUUUGUAAAAAAGGGGAGUUUUUUUUUUUACAUGUCGCGCCGUAUCUCAAAAACAAUUUAUGAUUAUUGCUUGAAACUGUACACACUUCUUUGUUAUACUAAUUUAAAGAUCUGUAUACUUUUUGGUGAUGACUCAAAAUUUUAUUUUUGAGUUAUUGAGUAUUUUGUAAAAAAGGGGAGGUUUUUUUUUUACAUGUCGCGCCG
rnacentral:lncRNA from 1 species